rnacentral:rRNA from 1 species
CAGCCGCCGCGGGAAUACGAAGGGGGCUAGCGUUGUUCGGAAUUACUGGGCGUAAAGCGUGCGUAGGCGGUUCGUUAAGACAGAUGUGAAAUCCCCGGGCUUAACCUGGGAACUGCAUUUGUGACUGGCGAGCUAGAGUAUGGCAGAGGGGGGUAGAAUUCCACGUGUAGCAGUGAAAUGCGUAGAGAUGUGGAGGAAUACCGAUGGCGAAGGCAGCCCCCUGGGCCAAUACUGACGCUCAUGCACGAAAGCGUGGGGAGCAAACAGGAUUAGAUACCCCAGUAGUCCCUGUCUCUUAUAC